AUCGAUAUCAAGAAUAAAAGCAUUUAAAUAUAAAGAUAUAUACACAGAAUUAAGUAUCAAUGUUCAUGGCAGUUGUAUUUGAUGAGACAGGAACUACUUGAUUAAUCGCAGAGAACUGUCUCACGGCUCAUUUACUUCUAGUUCUCGGGACCCAUGAUAGAAAGGCUAGCCCAACAGUGAAUGAAUUUACAGAUUUUUCGUAUAAUAGUCGUGCUUUGAACCUUGAAGUAAGUGCAUUGAUGUGAGACUUUUGUGGUAUAAGAAGAGUUCAUGAAAGUGCAAGCGCAGGCCUGCAUAUUAUGCAUAAUGAAGCCUCAACAUCUCCCCUCAAGUGAAAAAUAUAUUGGCAAAUCAGCUUUUAUCGAAUGCAGUGAAGACGCCUCUAACACUGUACCCAGAUCAAUGAAGUCACCAUUCCAAUGUCAUGGCGUCCCGAGAGAUCACAGCCGUUGGCCACAAGUCUGUCAUGCAAUGAGAGACUCAGGAUAGGGGUAAAGUUUGACGUAAUUGUCAUGACAAUAUAAAUAUUUAACUUCAAGACUGUUCGCUUUGCGAUUUGGCAUAUUAUUGGAUUCUCGAUGACACGCUAUAUCAGUCAACCUCACCCUUGACACAUGACAAAAAAAUAUAAGUCUGCGUUUCACUCAUUUCUAUUCAUCAGACAAUUAAAUAUAACUGAGAUGGCUUUGAUGAAUACUGUUCAGUUCAUAUUUGAUCCUGAAAGAUAAUGUAGAAGAAAAUUAUAAAUGCAAGAAGGUAUUACAAAAGUACACAAUCUCCGGCUUCCGAGAACAAAAGACCAAUAUUUACUCAGCUUUUGCCUGAUGGUAAACAUUGUUCGACUAACAAGUGGAGUUCUGCAUGUUUGAAAGUUUUAUUAGGGAGUGUUUAGGGGGAGUGUAUAGUUAUUCCGUCGAUUGCGUUUACGUCAAGUUCAUUAUAUAUAGUUCUGUGUUAUGUUGUACAGAAGUCUUGCUGCAAAUCAUAAUAAAUUUGGUGCGCGUUGUUUUAGUGCUUUAUAACACGUUUAUUGUCUUGGAACCGUUUCCCAAAAUAACACUUAGUCAUCGAAUUCCUCCCUGGGCGGAGUGUGG